rnacentral:sRNA from 1 species
GGAUUUGAGGAUGAUCUGGCUGUGGCAUCUGUCAUCUCUGCGAUUGCCAGGGUUGAUUUGGCUGAGAGACCUGCGAGGCAGCUGCCCCCUUCCUCCCUCACUACUUC